AUGGAAAGAUUGUGACACAGCUACAAUUGGUAUUGCUGGGUGAUUUAAAGCAAGAGGAAGGAACUUGGAACUCCUACCAAAAGAGUGAAGCUGUGUUGUUUCCAGUGAUUUAUGAUUUGGAGCCUAGAAAGCCACUUUUUUUUAUUGUAGUCUUACAAGCACCUGUAUGGUUGUUUCAAAUGUCAACUGCUUUGCACUGAAGGCACACCUGAGGAUCCAAAUGAGAGCAAGUUUUUUUUCCCCAUUAGCAGUUACCCUUCCACAUAGCUAUGAAAUGUGGUAAAGUGAUACUGCAGCAGCUCUGUAGCAGCUACUCUGCUGCUGCUUUGUUUCCAGGGACUGCAGAAAGCUGGACUGGAAGCAUCAGAGGGGGGUGACUGGUGCAGGAUCUCAUUCAACAGUGCGUUCUUCAGCCAUCAUUGCAAAUAGACAGCCGGGCUUUGGCAUUAUGGACCUGCUGAAGUUGGAGAAGAGUCUAUCUUAUGUCUAUACCAAUACUGUAUAUAUUUUUAAAUUAAGUUUUGAGCUUUUUAUGUACUUUUCUAGCAAAGGAUCCAAAUGUUUCCUUCCUUCAGCUGCAGUACUUGGCAAUUCUGUUGUCUUCUUCCUCCCCCCACUCCAAAAGUGACAACCUUGACAAGAGACUUGUUACUGUAAAUCGGCAAUAAGAAACCCCUAAAACUCAAUUUGUGAGCGUUAGCGGGCAGGCAUUCCUUUAUUAUCAGCACCAGACACACAGGAUGAUAGCUCCUCUAAUCGUGUAUGUCCCAUUCUCGGCUUACAUGUUCAGUAAAUGUCUUACACGUUCACUACUUAUAAAGUUCAUGCAUGUUAAUUAGGUAUCUCCACGAUGACAAAGAGGACCAUGACAAGGAUUGCAUUCAGUGCUUUGUCCAUGGCCUGCUGGCCAAAUGCAAAUGGUGGUGCCACACUGGUCAAUGAGGUUCUUUGCAUGCAACUUGGGCUCCAAAGCUCUGGGCUCUCAAAAGCUCACUCAGUUUCGUUCAUCCUACUGAAGGGUUUAGAGGUCCCUUCUUUUGCAAGUAGCUGGGAAAGUGAAGGAAGGCUUGAAGAAGUCCAAAUAACAUUCAAUUAAUGCAAGCAAAACAUGAGCUCUCAGGACACUGCUCUUACCCUUCAGCAGCCAUUGAAACAGAAAUCCACGUUUAAAGCAAUCAGCCGUGAACUCCAUUCACUUCAGAAAUAUGAUGUGCAGUUUGUGUAACUUCUGCUCUGGUCUCCCACCUCUUCCAGCAUCCAGCCUCACAAUGAGAACGAGAACAUAGCUGGUGGGAGAGGGAGACCUGUUCAGAAGACGGACACUUCAUACAAAGGAAAAUGAAUCAGAACUCUUGUCCACAAGAUAUUGCUAGGGCCAGUGCUUAAAAACAUGAUGCAUCCCAGGGUACUUUGUUUUUAAUGAGCGUUAUAAAAUACUCUUCUGGCCAUGAAGCAACAUCUUGAUAGGAGGUCUAGGAAGAAACUUCCUCCAUGGGUGAGUCAUUUCUCUAGUAAAUUCUUAGGGGCUUUCAUGUCUCUUUUCCUGAUAUGCUAAGUCGGACACUGUCUGGAAAUUUUUUGGUUGCAUAUAGGAACUAAUUCUGCAAGCCUUAAUAUCCAAAAUAUUAUUUCAUCUUUAUCAUUGAGGGGAUGUUCUGCAUAGUAGGAGCCUCAACUGACCUCUGCAGUGCAGGGCUGUGCUCAAUGGGCACGCAGUGCUGCCUUCAGCACCAUGAUCCAGCUGGGGCUGCAGACAUUACCCGAGCUCUUCAAGCAAAUCCAAAUAGGCAGCUUUUACCCACCCCUGAGUGGUACCUGCCUCAUGCUUUCAGUACAAGGCUGCAUGGCACAACAUGCACUCGGUGCUCUGGCAUGGAGGGAAGCAGGAGCUGAGCAGCUGAUGCUGGGGCAGGAAGAGGGACUAGAAAGGUGGUUGAUCCUCCAGCUGCUGCAAGGGUGACUGCUGGUCAUCCUGCCACUGUUCCACCCCUGGCUGCAUAGGGGAUGUGCUUCCCUAUGCCUGGUAUGCUGGGGAAUGGCACAUUGCCUGCCCUGUCCUAAGGCGCCGUGCUUUCUGAUCUCUUCCUCCAGAUUUUGCCUUCGUUUAAGACAUUUGCCUUCAAAUUGUCCCUAGAUCCAGGGAGAGACUCGAGAAACAUAGCUUAACACAUUAGACUAGAGCAAAGUGAAUGUCAUUACCCCACAUGCCUGUGGAUGCAGCUGUACGAGGCUUCUGUCAAAUCACCUGCUACUCCAUCCCUUCCUGCAUGAAGUUGGCUGGCAGCCAGGCUAGAAAAGCCCCAACAACAGCUCAGGAGCCCAGCACAGGCAUCCCUCAUCAGGUGGAGAGGAGCAGUGCCUGCAGCUCCCAGUGGCUUUGCACAUCCAUGCCCAAGGCUUCUCCUACAUCUUUGGCUGUAGAAGAAUAUUUCAACUACCCUAACAGUUAAAAAAACGCCUGCUAGUUGUUUAUUGUUCAAGCAUUCCUGCUGCUUCCCAGUAGUUAAUGGAGGAAAUGCCAUGGGAGCCAAGGGAGAAACUGGUCAAGGGAAGCAGAAUAAAUUAGGAUCAUUGUUUCACCCUGGCUCAUCCUGGGACAUCCAGUUGUUUCACACGAGCAUUGGAGCUGGGGGUUUGCAUUCAGGUGUGGCCAAGAGAACUGGAUCUUGGCUCUAAAGCUGCUGCUCCCUUCGGUGAGAUGCAGGAGGUGGGAUGCCUGAAGAGCAUGGCUGGAGAAAGGAGCAUGCUCCCAUGCAGUGGGCCUGGGUGUUGUGUGAGCAUACUGCUGGUAGCCUGCCAGGGCUGCUGCUGACCUGGUGGAGAAGCUGCCUGUUUCAUCCCUAGGCAAAGCACGCCUUUUCCUUCCUUCAGCCGCUUCCUGGAAGGUCUUAGUUCCUAAAAGAACUUAAUAUAACUUGAGCUCAGUCCUGUAGUUGCCCAAAGGCUCUGUUCCAUCAGAUGUGCCCGACAGGAGCAGUGGUGCUUGAUUUAUGUCAGAUUUCACUUUCUCUUGGCCCACAAUACCAGGCAUGACUUCAACAACUUGUGUCCGUAUUUUGCUCAGACUCUUUGACACGAGCUUGGGAGAGCUGAUCUGGGCAGCAGAAGGUUGCCCAGUCCCUUGCCUAACUUCCAGCUGUGGAUGCUGUACAUCUACAAAGGGCAAUUACACCUUCAACUGAGACUUGAGGAAUCCUUGUCAUGGGAAGAAAAGCACAGAAGGUGAUGUGCUUCUGGUCACCUGAUGACUUACAAGGUCUCUUUUUUCUCACAUUAUCCUUUCAGUGCAUGGAUGAAAGGAAGGAAAAGGCUGCUCAAACUGGCAGGUUCUCCUAACCAUGUGUCCUUCUGGCAGCUGUGUGGAUGCGAUGGGGAUGGAAGGAAGAAUAAUGUGCUCACCAGUUACAUAGUUGGUAAUUUAUCCACUGGAAGGGAGAGGUCUGCAGGAGCCAAAGAAAUCAGCUCCACAGACACCUGAGCUAGGGACUAUUGCAGGACUGUCUCCAGUGGCAAUGUGCUCUUACAAUGGGAUGAAGAGGACUAAGUGACACUACUAUACGGCAUUCAAAUGAGUGCACUUCAGAGCAAGGUCCCUUCAACAGCAGCACUGGAGAGAAGAAAUCAGGACACAAUUCUGAUUCUGAGUUUCCUGAGGAUAUGGACUGCUGAUGGAGAGAGGCAGAUGAGGUGGGUGCCAACCUGUGAGACAAAAUACUUUAUUGCAUUCAUCUGAGCAUCUCUCUGAGACAAGGUAAAUGGGCUCAAGCAACAAAAUACAAUCCCAAUGUCAUGAAUUGUUGAGCUCAUAGGGCCUGGUCCCCAGCUGCUUCCUCCUCCUUUCUGCUAUUUUCUGUGCCACUAGAAGAUCAUAUGAAUUGGAGGUCAGGUGGGAGACCCUGCUUUUCAUGUGCUCUGGCAUGGUUCCCACACACGCACACUUCUUUCACAGUUUCGAUGGUGAGCCCACUCUGCAUGGGCAGAAGGUUCUCAUGUAUGGGAAAUUCACCACUGGCUCUCCUUCACAUUUGCACCCCAGAGUACCAAGUUCUCAAAAUUUCAGUGCAGAGGUAGUUCUUUCCCCACCCACUUUCCAUCUAUCCCACCCAGGUAGACAGGAUGAGCAGAAAGAAUCUUUGCCUUGAUGAGAUUGAUAAAUGAGGUUGGAACAGAGCUCCUCUUUUCUGGAGUCCAUAUGGAGUCCUACCCAACUUCAAACUCAUAGCUGAUUCAAAAAAAAAAAAAAAAAAGCUGGCAAGUCCCUAAGUACUUUUAAAGAUUCUAAAGGUUAAAGAUAUGGUCGAUUGGCAUUCUUUUUAGAGCCUGGAGUGAUAGUAUAUUUACUUCACAGAAUUAAAAAGAGUGUACAAUUAGCAUUAGAAACCUAUUAGAUAGAUAUUUGGAAAAGUCAUUUAAUUUUCCAGUGCCACAUAAGUACCCCUCAUUCAUCCCCACUGCACUGGGCUUCAUACUGAUUCUUAACAUUAUACACUACAAUCUACAAAAUAUAAGUAAGCGUAAAAAAGCAAAAAAGGAGAAUACCCUUGUUUUCAAGGAGCUGGCAGAUUACAGACUAACAUCAGCCAUGUCAUUGUAGAGGUUCCAUCCUUAAAAACAGGUAACGUGCUGCAGCACCAUGUAAAAGCAUACUGAAGAUCAAAUGGGUAUUAGUGCCUCUUUACUACAUCUUGCACCUCACUGCAUUCCUUUUUUGGGUUUUGUUUUCAUAAUAAUAAAGGUGUAUGGCCAACAGCCUCUUCCUGUGGUGGAAUAACACAGGGCCAUGAAGGUACAGUUGGGUAGUAGAGUCAGAUGGAUGGCACUAGUGAGAGUUGAAGGUUUGGCAGUGAACUGUCAGUUCGGGAACUAACCAGGACUACUAGCAACAUUUUGGGAAACCAAAGUAGUGCAGCCAGGACCAACACAAUUUGAUAUACUUUCUAGAGAAAAAGUCUGCACAGAAUUUCUGUAUGAAGUAUAAUGAAUGAAGUGGCAGACUCUAGAUGGAUUUCAUGGGAAAAGACUUGAAAUCCUACAAUAUUUUUGACAAAGCUUUUUGUCCAAGUGUAAGUGAAUAUUCUGCAAAGAGCUUCCAGGAUGAAAAGCCCAAUAGAACACUUCCUAUUACUAAUGGGGUUUCUGUUUUAUUCAGGCAUAUAUAUAAUUAGCUGAGACUCCUUUUUGUUGACACAAUCCAUCAAAUGCACCCCAAAAUAUGCUAAUAGCAAUGUGUGUCUGCUUAAUAAGUGUGAAUACUUUGCACAUAGCAGCAAUUGUGCUGACAGUGGAUGACACUGUAAAAUUGCUGUUCACUGCGAUGUGAGUCCUUUCAAACCCAAUGAUUCCUGAUUUUCACUUUCAUAAUCACUGAAUCAAAUUUACUCCUCCCCACUCCCUCACAUUCUACCUAUGUCUGGGAAGCUGGGGAAAUUGUAUUCUACCU